rnacentral:rRNA from 1 species
GACGUAGGGAGCGAGCGUUGUCCGGAUUCAUUGGGCGUAAAGAGCGCGUAGGCGGCCGUGCAAGUCGGUUGUGAAAUCCCGGGGCUCAACCCCGGGACUGCGUCCGAUACUGCACGGCUCGAGGCAGGUAGGGGAGAGUGGAAUUCCCGGUGUAGCGGUGAAAUGCGCGGAUAUCGGGAGGAACACCGGUGGCGAAGGCGGGUCUCUGGGCCGAUACUGACGCUGAGGAGCGAAAGCGUGGGGAGCAAACAGG